AUUGAACGCUGGCGGCAGGCCUAACACAUGCAAGUCGAGCGGAUGACGGGAGCUUGCUCCUUGAUUCAGCGGCGGACGGGUGAGUAAUGCCUAGGAAUCUGCCUGGUAGUGGGGGACAACGUUUCGAAAGGAACGCUAAUACCGCAUACGUCCUACGGGAGAAAGCAGGGGACCUUCGGGCCUUGCGCCAUCAGAUGAGCCUAGGUCGGAUUAGCUAGUUGGUGGGGUAAUGGCUCACCAAGGCGACGAUCCGUAACUGGUCUGAGAGGAUGAUCAGUCACACUGGAGCUGAGAAACGGUCCAAACUCCUACGGGAGGAAGCAGUGGGGAAUAUUGGACAAUGGGGGCAACCCUGAUCCAGCGACGCCGCGUGUGUGAAGAAGGCCUGCGGGUUGUAAAGCACUUUUAGUGGGGAUGAAAAGCCGAAGGCUAAUACCUUUCGGUCUUGACCUAACCCAAAGAAAAAGCACCGGCUAACUCUGUGCCAGCAGCCGCCGUAA
rnacentral:rRNA from 1 species